AAUCGGCCACCAUAGAACGCUGCUUUGAGAAGUUAGGAUUCCGUAUGUAAUGCCAUCUUCCUGUGAAAUUAUUGAAGGAAUUUAAGAAAUUUAAAAUAAGCCCUUAAACAUACUCAAUGACUAAACUAAACUAAUUUUCAUCUAUCUUUUACCAUCUAUUUAAAUCUGGUACUUGGUCCGCCAUGAGUGCAGUUUACGACAUCAUUAAGGAAAGAGAAAAAGAGACAGAAACAAUAAGGUCCGGGCUAUUUUUACAUGAUGACUACGAAUUCUACCUUUUCAAUUGAAGCGCUUUGCUGCAGACAAAUCAACCAAUAUCAUCCGGUUACUAAGAGCUUUAUCCCCAUCCCGGAGUUUCCAGAUUUGUAUAUGACCGUGGUAUGAAGUGUACAUGUAUGUGGCCAUUUCCUAAGUCUCGCCAGCGCGGGUUUUGAUCUAAGUGAAUAACCUUUAUAUAUGUACAUAGAAUUAACAAAACAUAAAUAUUAUUUGAGAUUAUCGUCUUGAAGACAACAAUGAUGAUGUCUUAUGUGCAUACAUAUGUGACGCUAUAAUCCGAAAUGAUGGAUUUAAUGAAUUAUUAUGAUAUACUUGGUUGUACCAAGGAAUCAACAUUUGAAGACAUAAAAUGUGCAUAUCGUGCAUUAGCUUUGAAGUUUCAUCCAGAUAAAAAUGCAACUGAUGCAAAUGAUAGUAUAAAAUUUCAAUAUGUGUUAAAAGCUUGGCAUGUUCUGCGCGAUCCAAAGUUGAAAGAAGAGUAUGAUGCCAUACUAAAGCAAGAAGAAUUAGAUUUGGAAAAUAUUUUAAUAUAUGCAAAAAUAUGGGCGAAUGAAUUGGAAGAAAUGGAUAAUAAUAAAGAUAUGUUGUUUUAUCAAUGCAGAUGUGGGGGGUUAUAUUGUAUCGAGAAGCAACAAAUUCAAAAGAAAAAUCAGAUGAUACACGUUCCUUGUUCGGAGUGUACUUUUUUUUCUAUCAUUGAAACAUAAUACUUGUAUGUAACAGCCAUUGACAUUAGGACAGACACAAGGUGAAAAACAUGUAAUUUAAAAUGCAGCAACAUUUUCUAUUUCUUAUAAAAAAUGAUACAACAGAUAACACAUCAUUACAAAUAUAAACUAUUGAGCAAUAUACAAAUAAAAACACGAUCCUUAAAAUAUCCUAGGUUCAAUAAUAAAAAUUGCAUUUACAUAAAUCGUGUCUUGCAUUAAUAAUUGAAUUUACAAGACUUAUUGUCAAUCAGAAUUAACUGUUUGUAUAGCUUAUGCAAUUUCUGUAAUGAUAGAGUUUGUAUAAAAAAUUAAUUUACUAUAAAAAUCUAUAAAUUUGUAACUUAUUACAUAUUUCUUAAUAUUUCUUACUUUGGAAAAAUUUGUAAUUUAAUUAUGUUUAUUCUUGCAUGAUAACUGAUUUUAUGUUAUUCAGUUGAUUCGUGCAUAUUGCACAGGAUAAAUUUGCAACUCUUAUUAUUGCACCAUGGCAAAACCAGACUUGUUACUAAUGUCGAAAUCAAUAUUUUAUUUAAAUAUAGACAAUCCAAUUAAAUUACUAUCACGAAUAUUCGAUUAACCCUGGUUGUUUAAUCGGCAAACAAUAAAUAGCGAAUGACUUUUGAACAUGUUACGCAUGGAAAAUUAAUCAAAUACUAUAAUGGAAUUCGUCAAAGGAAUUCAGGAAAAAAUAAAGAAGAGAAAGGCAGUAAUGCAGUAAGGAAAAACGCACCAGUUUUAACAUCCCACAGUUUAACUGUACCAUCAUCCGAUGAAGUAAUUACAAAAUGGCUGUUGAACUGAAGGCAAGUGACAGCAGACUGAUGCUUAUUUGGACCAGACAAGGUUUGAAGGCAGUGACCACUAACAAUAUCCCAUACUUUAACAGUUGAAUCUGCAUUUCCAGAUACUAAGAUAUUAUUGCGCAAUUCCAUUCCAGAAGUGAGCGACUGAUGUCCCAUUAAUGUAUGUCUACAUGCACCAGUUUCAACUUCCCAUACUCUUAUGCUUGUAUCCAAAGAACCGCUAACAACAUGUACACCAUCAAACUAAUAAGAAGAAAGAAAGAAAAGAGUGCAUUAACACUUCUUGAUAUAUAAUAUCUAUGUGUAAACAAAUUUAGUGCUGUCCAAGGUAUGUCUUAAAGUUUUGUAGAUGUAGAACUGUUUGUCCAAUGAAAUGACAAUAUGUAAAGAGAGCCAAAAUUUUAUUACAAAUAAUUAUUUCAAUUGUGAACAGCAUCAGUUUAAAAAAUAUUAUAAAUUACAUAUUUUUCUUAAUAUUAGAUUGCCCGAAAAGUUUCUUUCGUUUUAUAAGGAAAUAAUAGACGCACAAUGUUUUUUUGUUUUAUAUUAGUUUAUUCAAUUAUUCACGAACAUUCAAUUCAAUAAAAUAGUAUAAAACAGAAAUUGUCGUUCAUCUAUUAUCACCUUAUGAAAUGAAAGAAACUUUUCGGACAACCUAACAUACAUUAUAUAUUGUAUCGCAUUAGUCCAUGUAUUACUUUUGUAUAAUUCGUAUAUACAGUUUAAUUAACGCUUACUUGGAGAGAAUAAACACGAUUUGUAUGUCCUUGUAAAGUA